rnacentral:lncRNA from 1 species
AGGCCAUUGCGCAUGCGGACAGCCCACCUCCAGGGAAGAAUCAGAGGAGAAGGGACGGAAGGCCUCGGAAGUAUGCCAACAUAUAAAACCCUACCUCAAAGAUCUCCUGCCCUGGGAGAAGCCAGCUGCCAUAUCAUGAGAACGUGUAAGCAUCCUUGAGGAGCGGUCCAUGUGCUUUCCAGUGACUGCAGCCCUGGCCAACCUCUUGAUGGCCUCCUCAUGAGAGCUGAUGAGCCAGGACCACCCAGUGAAGCCAUUCCUGGAUUCGUGUCCUGCAGACACGGUGCAGCAGGUACUGGGGACUGGUUGCCACCAUUACAGCAUUAGUUGGUGCUAUAGACUGAAUUCUCUGUGCAUGCACCAAGCAAAGGCCAUGUGAGGACAUACCAGGAAAAGGCCCUCACCAGACACCAAAUCUGCCAGCACUCCAGUCUUGAACUUCCCAGCUUCUAGAACGAUGAGAAAUAAACUUCUAUUGUUUAAGCCACCCAAUGUAGAGUAUCUUGUUAUAGUGGUCUGGAAUGACUAAAUCAGUUGGUGACGGAAGUGAUAUGGGAGAUAACAUCAAGUAAAGAGUUUAUAUACCAUGUAAAGAGCAAAAGUGCUUAAGGGGCCAGGUGCGGUGGCUCACGCCUGUAAUCCCAGCACUUUAGGAGGCCGAGGCAGAUGAAUCACCUGAGGUCAGGAGUUCAAGACCAGCCUGGCCAAAAU